UUAAGAAUCUUGCACAAUGGGGGCAACCCUGAUGCAGCGACGCCGCGUGAAUGAUGAAGGCCUUCGGGUUGUAAAGUUCAGUAAGCAGGGAAGAAUAAGCAACGGGUAAUAUUCGUUGUGAUGACGGUACCUGCCUAAAGCCCCGGCUAACUACGUGCCAGCAGCCGCGGUAAUACGUAUGGGGCAAGCGUUGUUCGGAAUUAUUGGGCGUAAAGGGCGUCUAGGCGGGGGAUUAAGUUAGAUGUGAAAGCUAUGGGCUCAACCCAUAAACUGCAUCUAAGACUGGUUCUCUUGAGUCCGGGAGAGGAGAGCGGAAUUCCAGGUGUAGCGGUGAAAUGCGUAGAUAUCUGGAAGAACACCAGUGGCGAAGGCGGCUCUCUGGCCUAGGACUGACGCUGAAGCGCGAAAGCGUGGGGAGCGAACA
rnacentral:rRNA from 1 species